rnacentral:rRNA from 1 species
UACAGAGGGUGCUAGCGUUGUUCGGAAUCAUUGGGCGUAAAGAGCGUGUAGGCGGCUUGGUAGGUCCGCUGUGAAAACUCGAGGCUCAACCUCGAGAUGUCGGCGGAAACCACUUGGCUAGAGUCCGGAAGAGGAGAGUGGAAUUCCUGGUGUAGCGGUGAAAUGCGCAGAUAUCAGGAGGAACACCAACGGCGAAGGCAGCACUCUGGGCCGGAACUGACGCUGAGGAGCGAAAGCGUGGGUAGCGAACAGG